UGGUCGGGCCAUGAGUCGCUACACGAUACGCUAAACGAAGGCACCGAUCAGGGACACUAGACGGUACACGAGUCGGUAUUUGGUGGUUGGCUGUCUGCUCGCGCAGCAACGUCCACGCGUGCAUACCUCUUCAGUAUUGCGGCAAGGCUUCGAUUGUCUUGAGCAUCUUGUGGGUUUCCUGUGUUGCAUACCUAAUUGAUGGUACCGUGUGGUUUUAUGAUGUCCCUUUUCGUCAUGCGUCGCUCAUGCGACAUGGGAUGAACAUCGAAGCGGUCUUUGUGGUCCACCUCCUCGUUGCAUUUGAAAUGAUGAUGUGGCCUAUGAAGCAUCGUUUGGUCUCUUGUAUACGGAACCUGAUGUGAGCAUGGGUCUUCUACGAUCCUAAAUCUGCCCUCGUUAAGCGUUCUCGCUUCUCUAAAACGAUUGUCUGCCAUGUCUUGGCUUAUCCUUGCAUGGUGGGCUACGUUGA
rnacentral:misc_RNA from 1 species